AGGCAGAAGGAAGGCAGUUAGGCUGUUAGGAAGGCAGUUAGGCUGCAGUGAAUUCUACAAAGAGGCUAUGGGAAAGAAACCUGGAAAGUACCCUUGGCUGUGUACAUUUGAGUAAAGAGAGCACUAUAAAAUCAAAAACCAAUGAAAUGGUUUCCAGAACACAGAACUAUUAAGCUUAAGAAAAGGACAGAAGGAACUGAAGAGAGAGGAACUGUUUUGGAGCAUCACACUUCCACCUCAGAAGAAAUAAGGAAGGAAGGAGGAGGGUGUUCCCACGGCUCUUCAACCAGGCCGGCUCUUCAGCCUACAUCCCCAUCUCAUCAAGUAAAAGGGAUUUUUCAACUGGACCAACCAGAUGGUUUAACAGUGCACUCCCACACCAUUCAACUACGCAAGGGAGAUACACUUAACAUAUGCAGUCGUAUAACACCUACUAACAUUUUCAAACAUUAAACCUUUAAAAAAGAGUUCUAAAGAAAUAGAAGCUUGAAGUAUCAUCUCUCAAGUAUAUAGACACUACUUCAUGGUGUGGUAAUAUAUGCAUAUAGAAGCUAGUAAACACCUCCAGGAGAUGCAAAAGGAAUUAGAACUGCCACAAGGUGCAAGCAAAACCUUGAGGUGAGAAAAUCGAAUUUGGACACCGUUGAGGAGACUAUUGCAGUCAUCCAAGCUCAAGAUGGUGGAGCUUCAUCCUUGAGAAUAACCAAUGGGGAUAGAUUUAAGAGACACUUAGAGUCUGCAGCCAACAGGGCUGAAUGAGCAGAGAGUUAUGAUUCAGAAGAUCAUCUAAAAUUGAACAGCUGCCACUACUGGCAAUAAGUCUACUGCCAUUUGGUAGAUAACCUUCUUAUCACACAGAAAAAUAUCAGUACAGACAAAUAGACCGCAAAGAAAAUGAGACCAUCAGCAAAGAAGAUAAAGAAGUUUGUACAAAGCAACUUUUUAUAAAUGGAUGGCUGUCAGGCAAAAAUAAAUUUCCUGUGGACAAGACCAAGAGCAAGGCAAGAGGAAAAUAAACAUGUUUAAACUAAAAAAAAAAA
rnacentral:lncRNA from 1 species